GACGAACCGUGCGACCGUUGUUCGGAAUCACUGGGCUUAGAGGGCGCGUAGGCGGGCCUCCCAGUCCGGGGUGAAAGCUUUCGGCUUAACCGGAAAAGUGUCUUGGAUACUGGAGGCCUGGAGGGGGGUAGGGGCAGCCGGAACUUCCGGUGGAGCGGUGAAAUGCGUUGAUAUCGGAAGGAACGCCGGUGGCUAAAGCGGGUCUCUGGGCCGAUACUGACGCUGAGGAGCGAAAGCGUGGGGAGCGAACAGG
rnacentral:rRNA from 1 species